rnacentral:rRNA from 1 species
UACGUAGGGUGCGAGCGUUGUCCGGAAUUAUUGGGCGUAAAGAGCUCGUAGGCGGUCUGUUACGUCCGCUGUGAAAACCCAGGGCUUAACCCUGGGCUGGCAGUGGAUACGGGCAGACUAGAGGUAGGUAGGGGAGAAUGGAAUUCCCGGUGUAGCGGUGAAAUGCGCAGAUAUCGGGAGGAACACCGGUGGCGAAGGCGGUUCUCUGGGCCUUACCUGACGCUGAGGAGCGAAAGCGUGGGGAGCGAACAGG